GAUGAAGAACGUAGCGGAAUGCGAUAAGUAGUGUGAAUUGCAGAAUUCAGUGAAUCAUCGAAUCUUUGAACGCACAUUGCGGCCAUAGGUAUUCCUUUGGCCAUGCCUGUUCGAGCGUCAUUUACACCCUCAAGCCUAGCUUGGUGUUGGGCGCCUGUCCCGCCGUUUUCGCGCGCGGACUCGCCUCAAAGUCAUUGGCGGCGGUCGUGCCGGCCCCCUCGCGCAGCACAUUUGCGCUUCUCGGAGGCCCGGCGGAUCCGCGCUCCAGCAAGACCUUUCACGACUUGACCUCGGAUCAGGUAGGGAUACCCGCUGAACUUAAGCAUAUCAAUAAGCGGAGGA
rnacentral:misc_RNA from 1 species